GUGUGACGAAGUCCAGACUUUAGCCAGCCGUGCCCGGGUCAAGAUGGCUGAGAGAGAAGUUUCUUCUUCGGGGGUGGUAUCCGAGUUCCAAAAGGUGACGAAGACUGUCGGGAGGCAGGUGAUUAUGUCUCCUGAAGGGGUUUGGUGUGAUUGUAAAUCCUAUUUUAUCACUAAGGCUCACUUUGUUGAGGAGAAGGGCUUCUAUACAAACAUGGCCGGGUUCUACCGAUCGAAGCACCCGGAUGGUCCGUUGGCUCCUUACAACAAGGAGGAGUUCGAUUCCAGGUUCGAGUUGUUGUCUGUUGCCCGGGCUCCUUUUCCCUUGAGAGACCAUAUAAUGGAAAUGCCCGAGGAUGUUGCGGAUAAGAUGAUCCGGGCGGCGUUCCAGAUUCCGCCCGAUGUUGAGUGGAGAUGGCCUCAGCCCGGGGAGAGGGUGCACCAUCGCCCCGCCGACGGAUUUGUUCCCGUUUGGAUGGAGCACCUCCGAUCGGGAUGGAACCCGAGGUGGCACAUCUUCUUUAAGCACUUAUGUAAAUACGAGUUCAAGUGUUCCCCGAUGCAGCUCACUCCAAAUGCAAUUAAAUGGAUGACCUGGUUCCUGGCGGCUUGCAAUAAGAAGGGUUAUUACCUGACUCUGAAGCUUUUCCAUUUGUUGUUUCAAUUCAAGAGAUCCGGGGUGAAGCCCCUUUAUGAGUUGCGUUUCCGGUCUAAGGAGCUUGGCUUGGGAGCCGGGUUCGUUAGUCCGGUCAUUCAUCAAAGCUCUCUUAAGGGUUGGAAUGGGGAGGUGCUCAUGUUGAAGGGCUUGGACCUGGCUUUUAUGCCGUACAUUGUUUCCGACGAGAAACAAGUGAGAACAGACUUUGGGGCUCCGGGUGCUGCGGGUGCAUUUCGGGAACAACUGCGUGACUUCUGUAGUUGUCUUGGGUCCCAAAUGACCCGGGAUUCGUUCAUGCAACAUGAUAAAUUGCAUGAAUAUGGCUGUAAGUUAUUUUCUUUUCUUACCCGGGUUCGCUCUGUUGUAUUUGGCUGUUUUGUUGUUUGUUUGUUCGUCCUUAGAGUUUUUCUGUUGUUCUAACUUUUGUCUUUGUUAUGUGUAUAUUGCUUCUGACCCGGGUACUUGUUCCUCGUUGCAGGCUUGCCAUAUUUUGAUCCGGAUCUGUGGAAAGAAAUGGCUAGUGAUUCGUUUGCCGCCCAUUUGAAAACUCUAGGGGCAGCCCAUGUUCUCCCCAAGCCGGCUCCUAAGAAGUCCGGGAAGAAGAAGAAGAAGGCUGAAUCCGGGUCUUCCCGGCAGGAGACCGAGGGGACGGGCACCUCUAGUGCCAACCCGGACCUUGUGCUUCGGGAGGAGAAUCCGGAGCCUAGCACAGACGUGGUGGGUGAGGAGAGUCCGGAUCUCCAGCCAAGACUGAAGAAGAUGAGGGCGAGUUCUGCUGUGAAGUCGGCUGCAGAGGCCGAGAGCGUUGAUCCGGGGAAGUCCCCUAUUGAAGUCCUGGAUUUGGAUGUGGAAGGUGAAGAGAGGACCCGGGUAGUUUCGGGGGUUAGUAAACCGGAGUUUGGCCGGUAUUCUUUGAAGAAAGUUAUUGGAUUGAUGUCUGAGCUUCCAUCCGACUAGGAUUGGGAGACAAUGGAGGAGGAAGGUCUUGUGGAGAAUUUUAAAGGACUCGGGAGUCUUUGGGCCGAGCUUGGUGGUCGUUUGGCCGGGUUCAACACCCACGCUCUGAAUCAGUUGAAGAAGGAGAGGGAGUUUUCUGCGUCCACUUUGGGCCAGGUCGCGAAGUUGGAGAAGAGCCGGGAUAUGGAGAGGUCGGCCAGGGAGGUGUUGGAAUCGAGCGUGGCGACCAGAAUCAAAGAAGCUGAGGCCCGUAAAGAAGCUGAACUCGGGCAGAAGGUGAAGGAUGCUGAGAUCCGGGCGGGUGAGGCCGAGGAGAGAGUGUCCGGGUUGGAAAAGGAGGUUGCUGACCUGAAGUUGCAGUUGGAGACCCGGAAGGCCCCUGAAGAGGUCAUUGCUGAAUUUCAGAAGUCUCCAGUCUAUGCAGAUGCUUUGUCAAAGGCCGCGGCUGCGGAGGUGAUGCGUUGCUGGACUGUGGCCGAGAAACACAUCAAGACAGACCCGGGUGCCAACGCGCAGAGCUUUAUCGACUUGUAUAUUGCUGCGAAGGCCAAGAUUAAUGCAGGCGGGGGGGAGCCCGAACCCUAUGUUGCCCCGGGUCAGGAAGUGGACUCGGAUUCUUCUGCUGAAUCUGAACCCUUGGACGAGGAGAUUCCUGUCACCGAUCCCCCUGCUGAUGACCCUCCUGCUUAAGUUUUCUCUGCCUUUACCUUGAAAAACAAUGUUUUUUGUAAGACUGGAUAUGUUUGUGUUUCCGGAU